UUUUUUCUCUUCUUCAUCUAUCUUUACCCAACUUUUAUUGAAAAAAAAACUUCCAUCUUCAAUCCAUGGAUUCAUAGAUUAUCCAGCUUUGCUCAAUGAUAAUUAUAUUGCAGCUUUUUUUUUUUUAUUAUAGAGAUUAAUGAGGUUUAGUGAAGAAGAUAUAUACAGUUGUCUUGAACUUUUAGUUUACUGGAACUGGUUCAGCUUACUAUUAGGUAGUGGAAUUGUGGUGAAGGAACGCUGCCUAGCUAAAACCAAGGAAACUUAUACGGCAGCCCAUGCUAGAAGAGGUGGUUAAGUACGUCAAGUUUCUGCAAGGACAUAUUCAGAUCAAUAUAAGACGCGAGUAUGUGGAUGAGAAAAUCAAGCAACUUGAUGGGGAACUUGCCAGAUAUAAAGAACAAAUCAAAGGAACCCGUCAUGGCCCCCUAAAGAAGCUGUGAAAAUUAAGGAGAUCAGAUUCUCAAGUAGAAUAGAAUGUAGGCAUGUAGCUCAUGGAAAUAAAUUGAAGCGAUUGGACUAUGUUGUAGAGCAUAUAUGAAUUUGUGCAAUCUCCAACUUUUUAUUCAUGCCUAGAACCUCCACCCAUUUUCAUGUACGAGGAACAACGGACAUACUAUACAACCAAAUAUUUUAUUUA